GGAUGUAGAACCCGGCAGAGAUGAGCUAAAGGACGCUAGCUGCUGUUUCCUGUCUGUGAGGCCAGGUGAGGUGGCAGCAUGGAUAAAAUGAGGAGAAUCCUGGUUCAUGUUUGUAAAGACCGAGCGGCUCCACAACAAGCUCACUUUGUUCAGAGUAUAACGGGUCACUUCAGUGACGGUGGUGAAGAUGAGGUGGAGGUGAACUGCUCACUGGAGAAAAACCAGUUUAUUCUCUACAGAGGAGACAAAGGACAAGGGACACCUC